UACGUAGGGUGCGAGCGUUAAUCGGAAUUACUGGGCGUAAAGCGUGCGCAGGCGGCUUUGCAAGACAGAUGUGAAAUCCCCGGGCUCAACCUGGGAACUGCAUUUGUGACUGCAAGGCUAGAGUACGGCAGAGGGGGAUGGAAUUCCGCGUGUAGAAGUGAAAUGCGUAGAUAUGCGGAGGAACACCAAUGGCGAAGGCAAUCCCCUGGGCCUGUACUGACGCUCAUGCACGAAAGCGUGGGGAGCGAACAGG
rnacentral:rRNA from 1 species